GCCCGAUUAGCUCAGUAGGUAGGGCGUGGGACUUUUAAUCCUAAGGUAAAUGGUUCAACUCCCUUAGCGGGCG
rnacentral:tRNA from 1 species